rnacentral:rRNA from 1 species
UACAGAGGGGGCAAGCGUUGUUCGGAAUUACUGGGCGUAAAGGGCGCGUAGGCGGCCUUCUAAGUCGAACGUGAAAUCCCCGGGCUCAACCCGGGAACUGCGUCCGAUACUGGAAGGCUUGAAUCCGGGAGAGGGAUGCGGAAUUCCAGGUGUAGCGGUGAAAUGCGUAGAUAUCUGGAGGAACACCGGUGGCGAAGGCGGCCAACUGGACCAUUACUGACGCUGAGGCGCGAAAGCGUGGGGAGCAAACAGG